UUCGUGGAACAUCUAUUCAGGCCUCGAGGAACACUGGGGUUCCGCAGAACACAGUUUGGGAAACACUGUUGUAACUGGUUUCUAUUUUUCCUGAUCACCGACCCAUAUCCUGUACGAUAAGAAGGAGGGAUACUGUAUAUUGCAAAACCAAUUGGAGAAGACGCCUUUAUUGUCUUGGUUAUUUAUAGAUUCGUGUAAAACGUUUGUGCCACUACAUCCUACCUGUGUUAACAGACGAGAGAAACUGAAUUGAGGAAAGAUUUUAUUUUGACGAGUAUUUGGACAUGAUGUCUGUCCACGUACAUCCGCAAGCCCUACUCACUGGUAGCAAGUCACUUGACGUUUCUCUGUACACCUGGACCUGUCCACUACUUAGCCAGCCCCCAUCUCUUCUAGUGUGUCAGCACGUGCGAGGUAACACGCUAUCCCAAUGACAGCCCCGACUUCCACAUAGAAUCUAAACAGUCAGUUGCUGGAACAAAUUCAAUAAAGAAAUCUUCUAUGGCGCGACCACAUCAAUGUGCACGCAAUGUCAUUUUCAUAUUUAUGAUACGUUUAAAAAAAUGAAUUUAAUUAAUUGUAAGAUUAACCUUCAUUUGUGAAAAAUACUAUUUAAAAACAACAACACUUUAUUAAUAUGUUCAAGUGCGCCGAUAUUUUAUAGAUCUUUAUAUUGC
rnacentral:sRNA from 13 species